GAAAAAUCCCACAAGGCCGAUCAAAACAAAACGUCAACAAUCGCUGUGUGCCUGCAGCCUCCAGCUGUCCGUAUCCAGCAGGUCCUCCGACAUCCUCAAGGGGGUGAUGCAGCACCCUUUGCACCACUACUUCCUACGGCCUUGACCCUGACUUCCUUCUUCUUCAUGGCCUACUCGUUUGACCAGAUCACUUGGUUGUCUGCUAAGGACAGCCCUCUUCAAACCGAUCCAUGGUUUCAAAUUCAAAUAGGAAAAAUCCAACAACCCCACCCACUGAGCAUCACUUGGUGACAGCGGAGAGGAAAAACUCCGUUUAACAGAUGACACCUCCAACAGACCCCGGCUCUUGGUGG